rnacentral:rRNA from 1 species
UACGAAGGGGGCUAGCGUUGCUCGGAAUCACUGGGCGUAAAGCGCACGUAGGCGGGUUGUUAAGUCGGGGGUGAAAUCCUGGAGCUCAACUCCAGAACUGCCUUCGAUACUGGCGACCUUGAGUCCGGGAGAGGUGAGUGGAACUCCGAGUGUAGAGGUGAAAUUCGUAGAUAUUCGGAAGAACACCAGUGGCGAAGGCGGCUCACUGGCCCGGUACUGACGCUGAGGUGCGAAAGCCAGGGGAGCGAACGGG